rnacentral:rRNA from 1 species
UACGAAGGGUGCAAACGUUGCUCGGAAUUAUUGGGCGUAAAGCGCACGUAGGCGGCAUUGCAAGUCGGAUGUGAAAUCCCUCGGCUCAACCAAGGAAGUGCAUCCGAAACUGCUGUGCUUGAGUACUUAAGAGGAUCGCGGAAUUCCCGGUGUAGAGGUGAAAUUCGUAGAUAUCAGGAGGAACACCGGUGGCGAAGGCGGGUCUCUGGGCCGAUAUCGACGCUGAGGAGCGAAAGCGUGGGGAGCGAACAGG